rnacentral:rRNA from 1 species
AACGUACGCUGGCGGCACGCCUAACACAUGCAAGUCGAACGCAGUAGCAAUACUGAGUGGCAAACGGGUGAGUAUAAUGUGGGAAUCUGCCUUUUGGUUUGGAAUAACAUGGGGAAACCUGUGCUAAUACCGGAUAAGUCCUAACGGAGAAAGGUUUUAAUGCCAAAAGAUGAGCCCGCAUUUGAUUAGCUUGUUGGUGAGGUAAAAGCUCACCAAGGCUAUAAUCAAUAGCUGAUUUGAGAGGAUGAUCAGCCACACUGGGACUGAGAUACGGCCCAGACUCCUACGGGAGGCAGCAGUGGGGAAUCUUGCACAAUGGGCGAAAGCCUGAUGCAGCGAUGCCGCGUGAGUGAAGAAGGCCUUUGGGUUGUAAAGCUCUUUUGUCGGGAAAGAUAAUGACUGUACCCGAAGAAUAAGGUCCGGCUAACUUCGUG